rnacentral:misc_RNA from 1 species
AAGUCGUAACAAGGUUUCCGUAGGUGAACCUGCGGAAGGAUCAUUAUUGAAUAAACUUUUCAAGUUUUUUUCAUAUUCCCUGUUUAUAUUAAAUACGUUCCUUCCAUCGGACAGGUCUAUUAGGACCCUCUAGCUUGGGCAAAUGCUUUUGCUGGAGAGUUGCCGGUGGCGUUUCUAAAAACAAAAACUUUUAUAUUACGAAAUGUCUGAAUAUAUUUUUAAAUUAAAUAAAACUUUCAACAACGGAUCUCUAGGCUCUU